UUGACUUGGAUGGAUGGAAGGUGGAGGGUGGGGGCCAGCACCAGUUGGAACGAAAGGGGAGGUUGAUGCACGCAUGCAUGGCCUGGGUGGAAAGGUCCGCAUCGAUCAAAGAAUUGUUUCCCGCCCCUGAUUUCACCUGGUUUUGGUGGUCCGGUGAUGUCACGGGGCCGGCGGGGUGGAAGACAACACAUUUUCAACGCUUCCUAUUAUUGCAAGAACUGGAACCCCUUAAUUUCAACCCAUGUUAUCGUUCUUUUCUGGUUCUUUCCUUCCUUUGUUCCAAGGUUCUUCUUCCUCUGAGAAUAUACGAGAACCGGCAAAGGGAUAAUAUGCUUUCGUGCUCUCUAAAUCUAGAGAGAAAUUAAGCCGGUGCGGGCGAUGGACCAUCAGUGUCGAGGGCAACCGAUGGAGAAAAUCGAUGGGUAGGAGCACGAGGACAACAAUGAACCCGUCUUGUUAGUGCGUGGCAGGCGGUCUGGGGAUAGAGGGGAUGGCGCUUCGAGGCCUCUGUGGUAAUUAACUAGGCGCACAUUAGCGAUGUGAGUGAAAGCUAAGCAAGCAAUUUACUUGGUCGGGUAGAGUGACAUGCAUGGUUGGUGGCUCACUCGGUUGACUUGGAUGGCAAGUGGAGCAGAGGCAAGGCCCGACAUCACGUUGAAAGAGAAUGCAUGGUUUGCAAAGGUCCAGAUCAAAGAAUUGUUUUCUCGUGUGUUUUUCACACGAUCUUGGUGGUCUGAUGAUGUCAGUAGAAGACAACAUUGUUCCUGUGUUCGUUAAACAGGUUCGUUCAUUGCUAUUUGUUUUCUGGGUUUCCCAGUAUUCAGAUAAUCAAGUUUACCUUAUUCUCCUUGUUUUUCUUCCUUCGUUUCGAGCUUCCUCUUUCCCGACAUAAAAAAAACU
rnacentral:lncRNA from 1 species